rnacentral:rRNA from 1 species
GACGAACGCUGACGGCGUGCUUAACACAUGCAAGUCGAAGGGAGUGGCGAACGGGUGAGUAACACGUGAGUAACCUGCCCUUUUCUUUGGGAUAAGCCUGGGAAACUGGGUCUAAUACUGGAUGGAUUGGGAUGGGCUCGCGGCUUAUCAGCUUGUUGGUGGGGGUAUGGCUUACCAAGGCUUUGGCGGGUGGCCGGCCUGAGAGGGCGGCCGGUCACACUGGGACGGAUAUACGGCCCAGACUCCUACGGGAGGCAGCAGUGGGGGGUAUUGCACGAUGGAAGAAAGUCUGAUGCAGCCAUGCCGCGUGGAUGAAGAAGGCCUUCGGGUUGUAAAGUACUGUCAGCGGGGAGGCGUUACCCUCAGAAGAAGCACCGGCUAACUCCGUGCCAGCAGCCGCGGUAAUUC